rnacentral:rRNA from 1 species
UACGAAGGGGGCUAGCGUUGCUCGGAAUUACUGGGCGUAAAGCGCACGUAGGCGGCUUUCUAAGUCGGGGGUGGAAUCCUGGAGCUCAACUCCAGAACUGCCUUCGAUACUGGAGAGCUCGAGUCCGGGAGAGGUGAGUGGAACUGCGAGUGUAGAGGUGAAAUCGUAGAUAUUCGCAAGAACACCAGUGGCGAAGGCGGCUCACUGGCCCGGUACUGACGCUGAGGUGCGAAAGCGUGGGGAGCAAACAGGAUUAAGAAACC